rnacentral:rRNA from 1 species
UACGUAGGGGGCAAGCGUUGUCCGGAUUUAUUGGGCGUAAAGAGCGUGUAGGCGGCCAGGUAGGUCUGCUGUGAAAACUCGAGGCUCAACCUCGAGACGUCGGCGGAAACCAUCUGGCUAGAGUCCGGAAGAGGAGAGUGGAAUUCCUGGCGUAGCGGUGAAAUGCGCAGAUAUCAGGAAGAACACCCGUGGCGAAGGCGGCUCUCUGGGACGGUACUGACGCUGAGACGCGAAAGCGUGGGGAGCUAACAGG